CUGGCGGCGUGCCUAAUACAUGCAAGUCGAGCGAACGGACGAGAAGCUUGCUUCUCUGAUGUUAGCGGCGGACGGGUGAGUAACACGUGGAUAACCUACCUAUAAGACUGGGAUAACUUCGGGAAACCGGAGCUAAUACCGGAUAAUAUUUUGAACCGCAUGGUUCAAAAGUGAAAGGCGGUCUUGCUGUCACUUAUAGAUGGAUCCGCGCUGCAUUAGCUAGUUGGUAAGGUAACGGCUUACCAAGGCAACGAUGCAUAGCCGACCUGAGAGGGUGAUCGGCCACACUGGAACUGAGACACGGUCCAGACUCCUACGGGAGGCAGCAGUAGGGAAUCUUCCGCAAUGGGCGAAAGCCUGACGGAGCAACGCCGCGUGAGUGAUGAAGGUCUUCGGAUCGUAAAACUCUGUUAUUAGGGAAGAACAUAUGUGUAAGUAACUGUGCACAUCUUGACGGUACCUAAUCAGAAAGCCACGGCUAACUACGUGCCAGCAGCCGCGGUAAUACGUAGGUGGCAAGCGUUAUCCGGAAUUAUUGGGCGUAAAGCGCGCGUAGGCGGUUUUUUAAGUCUGAUGUGAAAGCCCACGGCUCAACCGUGGAGGGUCAUUGGAAACUGGAAAACUUGAGUGCAGAAGAGGAAAGUGGAAUUCCAUGUGUAGCGGUGAAAUGCGCAGAGAUAUGGAGGAACACCAGUGGCGAAGGCGACUUUCUGGUCUGUAACUGACGCUGAUGUGCGAAAG
rnacentral:rRNA from 1 species